rnacentral:misc_RNA from 1 species
UACGGAGGGUGCAAGCGUUGUCCGGAAUUAUUGGGUGUAAAGGGUGCGCAGGCGGGAAUCUGCGUCGAGGGUGAAAGCGGGCCGCUUAACGGUCCAAGCGCCUUCGAUACGGGGUUCCUUGAGUCCAGAAGAGGCCGGUGGAAUUCGUGGUGUAGCGGUGAAAUGCAUAGAGAUCACGAAGAACACCAGUGGCGAAGGCGGCCGGCUGGUCUGGAACUGACGCUGAGGCACGAGAGCGUGGGGAGCGAACAGG